CUCGGAGUUUGAUCCUGGCUCAGAUUGAACGCUGGCGGAAUGCUUUACACAUGCAAGUCGAACGGUAGAGGGGGCAACCCCUCGAGAGUGGCGAACGGGUGAGUAAUAUAUCGGAACGUGCCCAGUCGUGGAGGAUAACGUAGCGAAAGUUACGCUAAUACCACAUACGAUCUAAGGAUGAAAGCGGGGGACUCGCAAGAGCCUCGCGCGAUUGGAGCGGCCGAUAUCAGAUUAGGUAGUUGGUGAGGUAAAGGCUCACCAAGCCAACGAUCUGUAGCUGGUCUGAGAGGACGACCAGCCACACUGGAACUGAGACACGGUCCAGACUCCGUACGGGAGCAGCAGUGGGGUAAUUUGGACAAUGGACGCAAGUCUGAUCCCAGCCCAU
rnacentral:rRNA from 1 species